GCACAUGUGGUGUAACUGGUAGCGUUUUGCGCUAGUGGUCAGAAGGUCGCGGGUUCGAUACCCGGCAGGGGAA